CGCCUGUAUGUGGCGCAGGCACUGUGGUGAUUUUCGUUUCGCGAUUAGUAGUUCUGCGCGUGUGAGUCUUCGGCUGGCUGACUGUCUUUCGAUUUCUUCUCACCGAAACCGUCGACCGAGCGCGCUGGGCGCUCAGAGAGUAGCAAUGGGCAAACACGAUCCGGUGCCUUGCUCGGUCGUCGGGUGUAAACCAAGCGACAGAAAAGGCGUCAUGACCCGGCAUAAGUUGCCCCGAGGUGAAGCCAUGCGGUCUGCUUGGCUGAAGCUCAUUGGCCUGCCACCCACCGAUGCGCGGAAAAACAUUCGCGUUUGCGGUCGGCACUUUGCACGUUGUGCCUUCCUUUAUGAUCCAGAACUGAUUAAGGGAAUGGGCGUCGGCUGGACAUGUUUACGCUUGAAACCAACUGCCCUGCCGACGUUGUUCCUUCCUGCCGGGAAGGGUCAGAUAUGCAGAUGCAGACGGCCUGCUGCUGUGUACGCUGUUGGAACUCAAAAGGCGGCCGUUACUACCUCGGCUGCUGCUACGGAAACCUCACACAAGAAGGGGCAGAACAGAAAUACUGCCACGCAGGCCUACCUCGACGUCGGCGCCUGUAAAGAUAUGGGCACGCAGACAGACACAAGCACCAGUGAUCCAGCAUGUCCCCCUUUAUUGCAACUAUGGAGGUUCUAGCCUGCAUGAAGUUCAACAGCAGUGCCACAUACAGUGGAAGAACUGUCAUAUGUUGCUGCUUAAUUUGAAAGAGUGGUUCCUUACUCCACAUGAAAGUGAUCCGCAAGUGUCAUUGCCCUGUACUGGCUCGUGCUGUCAGUUCUAUUCAUGAUGUUAGAAUGGAGGCUUGCAGCUGAGUGCGGUCAAAGAAUAUGGUUUCUCAGAGAGGAUUCGAAGCAUUUGCAAAGAUGUUGUGCUUGGCUCUUGUAUGGGAGAAGGGAGAACCUGGCUCAUUUACCACCUCGUCAGAUCUACAGCUGCUACGGCUGUGCUCUGUUCAUUUCACCAGCAGAGACUAUGUGGACCCUGGACAGAGAAGGCUUGUGCUGUGCCAACAGUUUCCAUCUUUGUUUUUAGCAAUGUGCUGUGACACAUCGGAAGUCUAGAUUGUCAUAUGAGCCUUCGACACUGGGUGCAUUAUAAAGAAAGUUGAAAAUAUGCGUCAUGACUCAAAGCGCAUGUCCAGGUGGGAAAAUCGAAGCGACUACGUGGAAAUCUCUGCACGAUUUGACGGUGCGUCAGCAGCAGCUACAGAUGGUCACACACCCUUGCAUAACUACCUAAAACAGCAACUUCCUCGGAGAACAGUGCCCUGCUCUAAUUGCUGACAGGCGGUGGUGGCUAUUUUUGGAUAAAUCUUCUGUGGUUAGAGUGCGGGCGUUUAUUGCUACCAGUCACCGAGGGCACUCAACGUGGAGCGAAGGACUACUUAAACGUGUGCUGCAGAUAAAGCCAUUGGUUUCCGGUGUCGA